AUAACUUACUUAAUUGGUGUUUCCUGCUAUAGCUAAAUUUCACAUACCUGGAUAAAUAUCUAGUGGCUCUAAACAGUUUCUUUAUUCAAAGUUGAUCUGGACAAGUAGCCAAUGGCAAUUAUCCAAAGCGCUGUUUGAAAACUGCAUCUUUAUUAAUCCUUUGUGUUGUCACCCUGGCAACGCAUCUGUAUCUGUGUAUGCUUGUAUGUUUUCUCUUUUUUGAGAAUCUGAAUCAAAAGAUUCACGAACCCGCUCCGAAAGUUCCAAUUUGAAUCAAGUGAUUUGCGACACCUGCUCCGAAGAUCCGAUUUGAAUCAAAUGGUUCGCGAUCCGAAAUCCUGAUCAAAAUCAAAAGAUUCACAAUCUGAAGUCCAGCAAACCAUUAUUCAGAUCUGAAUAAAAAAAACUGUGAUUCUGCUCCAAAGAAGUUCCAGUCUAAAUAAUAUGCUUUUAAGUUCCUAUUUGAAUCAAAAGAUUCGCAAUAAGCACUCUGAAGUCGCGAUCUAAAUCAAAUGAAUCACGAUACAUGCUUUGAAGUCCUGAUCUAAACCAAGUGAUUCCAGAUAUUCGAACCGAUUCGAGCACUUCAAAACAGCGAAUCAUUUUGUGACGAGUGGUUCAGAGUUUCAAAAAGCUCCGUUUCACCCAUCAAUAACUUACGUGCUUAAUGCAGUAUUUGCUAGUGAAUAGCUUAAAACAAAUGACUGAAGUCACGAGUUUGAGUUUGAAUCAAUCGGAGUGGUUCCAGCGGAAAUGACUCACUCAGUUGAAUCGGUUUGUCUGUUCCUCCGCUUUUCGCGCGUUCAGCCAUGUUUAUGCUACAACCUCAGUACAACUGCUGGCUUAAAGCGCUAGUUUUAUUCGAUUAAUUGAAAUAAGCAAAAAAGUAUGGUGUUUACAAAUAACAUCUAUAUUUCCAUUCUGAAGAUAACUGCUUUCCACGUCGAAGACAUCCAACACAAAUCAUUUUCAGAUACAGUGAUAGUUGAUGUAGAAAGAGCAAAUGGGAGAAGCAGAUGAACACAGAACAGAUGCACAGUGCUGUCUGUUCAUUAAGGUUUCUGAGUGUAUCUACUCAUGGAUUACUAUGUCGUUGGAGAUCUGCAGACAUUGCUGAGUAAGUUCGGUGAUGGUAUCCUCAGUUCUACCUGUUGAGAUGGUGAUGGCCCUCGAUUUAGUCCACAGACUAAAUGAAAGUCUCAUUCACCGGCACAAAGACAAAGCGGGCGGCGUGUGAUAAACGAUGAUUAGCGUGAGAGGUGAGCGGCAGACGGGUGACGGACAGAAACAAGGCCAGGAAUGCCAACAGCCUUCGGGCGCCGUUGCCAGGGUCGAACCUCUGCCUCAGGCUGCCAAUCAAACGUCCCGUGUAAGAACCCGAUAAGACCGGCACCCACUGAUCAUCUGGAUUUAAAUGAAAAUGAAAUUUCCCCAAACUGGUCCUCAACAUCAUAUUCAGCUCUCUUUGUUUCUAUGACAUAUUCACGAAGUCUUGCAAUGUAGUGGCUUCUCAUUAAAGUCUGCUAUAGUUCACCUCUAAACUUGGUGUAGCUCAGGAAAGUGCAACAGUGACACAGUAAAGAGCGGAUGGUACAUGACAGAUAAACUGAUGGAGCUUAAUCAUGGUAGAUUGAAAGGGACCAGUUUUAAAAUUAAGUAAAUGAUGAAAAUGUUUAUUUUAAUAUGCAGUUGGCUCCCUUUCUGUUUCAUAAAUAGAUAGAUAAUCUAUAUAUCUGUCUGUCUGUUUAUCUAUCUAUCAGACAUGGUUACAAAGCAACUUCUUGCAGAGAGAAUCAGAGAAAGUCAGAUAUAAAGCCCUUAAAGAACCAACAUACAGUAUAUUAGUAAAAUGGCAAGUAGAAUGUCAAAAUAACAAAUUAUUUUAAAUAAAUCCUGUUUUUGGAAAAAGAAGCAUCUAGCGUUUUAAAUCAAGACACGACCAAGUUGUGUUGGAUAGAUCAUACUAGACUGACUCAUGGGCAUUUAUUGAAGAGUGAAGGAAGAAGAACCAAAAUGUCAAUAGUGUAGCACCGGCUUGUCUAUAAAACUUGUAUUUUUGGUCUAAUGUUUUGAGACAGCUGUGUUUAUCUGAAAAAAGUUUUAAGGACUUGUUUAUGGACCCAGAAAAACUUUUACAAUUUUUAUAACGGGUACAUUUAAAGAAUGUUUUAUAGAAUUAUGCUUAAUCUUGUCUUUUUGUACAAGUCAAAUGUUAUAAAAAUGUUUUUAUUAUUAUUGUUAUAUUGAAUUUGAUAUUAUUUUGUUGAUAAU